rnacentral:rRNA from 1 species
GACGAACGCUGGCCGCGUGCUUAACACAUGCAAGUCGAACGAAGUGGAGAACGGGUGAGUAACGCGUAAUCAACCUGCCCUUCAGAGGGGGACAACAGUUGGACACGACUGCUAAUACCGCAUACUGAAGGAGGGGAUUGCGUCUGAUGAGCUAUUUGUAGGGGUGACGGCCCAACAAGGCGAUGAUCAGUCGCCGGUCUGAGAGGAUGAACGGCCACAUGUGGACGGAGAGAUGGCCCAGACUCCUACGGGAGGAAGCAGUGUGGAAUCUUCCGCAAUGGACGAAAGUCUGACGGAGCAACGCAGCGUGAGUGAGGACGGCCUUCGGGUUGUAAAGCUCUGUUAAUCGGUACGCGGUACCGGAAUAGAAAGCCACGGCUAACUACGUGCCAGCAGCCGCGGUAAUAC